ACCUUAUAGCUUCUUAUAGUUUCUAUUUGUCAUCUAGAUGUUGUACAUCAUGUACAGAUCUAUUUAAGAAGGAUUGUUGUACAUCAGGAAUUAAAGUUUACGGAAUGCGAGAAAAAUAUAUGCAUAACUGGAUCUGUGAUUCGGUGAUUUUUUGAAUGUGAAGCUUUUGGAUUUGCAUAUAAUGCUGACACCACAUGGACUCUGAAGGAAGUUGUGCUAACUGCUAAGCUUUCCCUGCUUUUCCAGCUUGUGUGUUUCAUUGAUGGAGGAGGUAUAAAUCUGUUCCUUAAAGCGAGCAAAUCAAAACAAAAAUGCAGGAGGUAUCCGACAACAUUGACGAACGCUACACCAUUCCACUUAGACCUGAGGGUAACAUCAAAGGAUGCCACCGGCAGCAGAGAUCAACAAGUUCUUCACCGUCGGGGAGAAGGUGGAGGUCGAAUGUUUCACCGUCAAGUGCAGACUUAUCAUUCAGCUACAGUCACUUGAUCAUCGUCACAGACACCGCCACACUAAGAAUUGUGCAGCUGCUCUACUUUCAGGUACAAAAUUGGACAUCAUGUGGGGUGUUAUGCUCAACCCCAGCCAGUUCAAAGGCAACACUGGUGGUGGUCCUCUGAGUAUGCAUAUGACAUAGAGUGGGCACUGCAAUAAUACAUGCUAAUAGGCGCAGUUUCAUCUCGAGCAGACGAGAACUGCAAUAGUACAUGCUACUCUCAGCGACUACUAACGUGAAGUUGCACUCAGGCUCUCGCAUAUACUAAAGAGUGCGGCUUUUGGACAUCCUUAGCACGAUAAGCGCAAACACGAAGAUUAGACGCCACCUUGGAUUCGUCUGGUUGUUAACUUGUGGUCAUUAACCACAUAUAUAUUGUGCUCUGCCCAUAUGCUCUAGAGCAAACAAGCAAUGAUAGUGGACUGCAGUUUCUGGGGUAUCACACCCAUUUAAA